rnacentral:rRNA from 1 species
UACGAAGGGGGCAAGCGUUGUCCGGAAUCAUUGGGCGUAAAGAGCGUGUAGGCGGCCAGAUAAGUCCGCUGUGAAAUCUCGAGGCUCAACUUCGAGCUGUCGGUGGAAACUGUCUGGCUAGAGUCCGGAAGAGGAGAAUGGAAUUCCUGGUGUAGCGGUGAAAUGCGCAGAUAUCAGGAAGAACACCCGUGGCGAAGGCGGUUCUCUGGGACGGUACUGACGCUGAGGGAGCGAAGGCGUGGGGAGCGAACAGGAUUAGACUACCGUAGUCAGUC